CCUACGGGAGGCAGCAGUGGGGAAUAUUGCACAAUGGGCGAAAGCCUGAUGCAGCGACGCCGCGUGAGGGAUGACGGCCUUCGGGUUGUAAACCUCUUUCAGCAGGGAAGAAGCGAAAGUGACGGUACCUGCAGAAGAAGCGCCGGCUAACUACGUGCCAGCAGCCGCGGUAAUACGUAGGGCGCAAGCGUUGUCCGGAAUUAUUGGGCGUAAAGAGCUCGUAGGCGGCUUGUCACGUCGGGUGUGAAAGCCCGGGGCUUAACCCCGGGUCUGCAUUCGAUACGGGCUAGCUAGAGUGUGGUAGGGGAGAUCGGAAUUCCUGGUGUAGCGGUGAAAUGCGCAGAUAUCAGGAGGAACACCGGUGGCGAAGGCGGAUCUCUGGGCCAUUACUGACGCUGAGGAGCGAAAGCGUGGGGAGCGAACAGGAUUAGAUACCCUGGUAGUCCACGCCGUAAACGGUGGGAACUAGGUGUUGGCGACAUUCCACGUCGUCGGUGCCGCAGCUAACGCAUUAAGUUCCCGCCUGGGGAGUACGGCCGCGAAGGCUAAAACGUCAAAGGAAUUGACGGCGUUGAGAGUUGCGAGCGCGACGAGGGAGAGG
rnacentral:rRNA from 1 species